GCUUGCGGAGACAGAGUGGAGCAGCAGAGAGGUACGGGGCUAUGUCUCCACUCUCCGCCAUGUGCAAACACUAACAAGACAACAAAACAAAACCUGUGGCAAGCAAAGCUUCAUUUUAGCCUGAUAUUUCCUCUAAAGAACGACAUCUAAGAAACAAACCCAAGGGAGGCCUGUGGCAUAUUCUUACCCUGGACCUUUUCUUCUUCUGGUAGGGUUAAUCAUAUGGUGGAGCAGAGUUCCAGGGAAGGCACGGAAGGAGGACAGCUGGAAAUGAGCAGCAAAGAAGGGUUCCACGCGGGCUUCUACCAGCUUCUCUGCCGCUGACCUGCUCUGCGAUGCCUCUCUUAUCCUGUGCUGGGGUUUCUCUGAUGCAGCGGCUGGGCUGCCUGGCACUCAGGUAUGCCCAGCCUGGAGAUGGGGAGUUAGUGCCAGGGUGCCACCCUUGAGGAGGGGGGAGUGGAAGCCAGUUGAUGCCCACUUCUCUAUUUCUUCCCUAGCUGACUGCUCUGGGAUACAUUCCAUAAGAUUCCUCAGAAGAUUCUGAGGGAUUGAGCACCAACUGACGACAGCCGUGGCCAAUUCAAGAAUUCAUCCUUGUGUUGGGGUUUACUUCCUUCGCCUUCACUCUCCCCGCCUCUCACAACUGCCCCCUGAGAUACAUGUUCAAGCAAACACACAGAAGAGAAAUUCUUACAGAAUUGGCCACAACAUCGAUAUCUUCACAAAGCCGUCUUUUCAAAGUGGUAAAUGCUUCUAGGAUGAGGUUGCUCUUGCAACCACGCAGAAAUAACGUGUUGGCUACGCAUAAUUUUGGUUUGUCACCAUUGAGCAUAAUCAUCAUAAUAAACGCAGUCAUCAUCUGGAUUAAGCAGCCUCGUUUGUAUGAAGACAAGUGUGGACCUGCAUUCAGAACAUCCCCUGGUUCAAAGCCCAGCGCUGCUACUAACAAAAAUUGGGCCCUGGAACGAGUUUCCUUAACCCUCUGAGUCUCGGUGUUCUCAUCUGCAAAAUAGGAUUAAAAUAUCUACCCCACCUCACAAAAUUUUUGUGGGGAUUCAGUGAAAGGAGAUAUUGCAAAUGGUGGCAAAUGGACUUCGCUUGGGAGCGAAGAAGAAGGGACUUCUUGUCACGGGGCUCAUCCUCAGCUGUGUUGAAAAAAACGUUCCGUGAGAAGCUAUGACUUACAUGUUAAGGAAAGAAUGUACUCUGUCUCAGGUGUAAUUCAUCUUGUAUCUAAAAAUGCAUGAUUCUAUGAAAUACAGCAUACUUAUUUCUCUCUCUCUCUUUUGUCCUUUGAGGAAAGUCUACCCAUUUCUUCUGAAGUAGCACUACUAUAUAAAGGAAACGCGUCUUUCUUGCCUUGUAAACAAUUUUUUCCCAUUAUUUUGUUCCUCUUUCCCAAACAGGACUUUUUUAGUGGGAAUGAAGAUAGAAGAAAAAGAGUUUAAUGAAAAGACAAACAUGGAUUCAAAUUUAUGAUCAUACUCACCUUCUUUUUUUUUUUUUAAAAAAGGAAAAAUAAUGAAGUUAAAGCAAAUUGGAUCACAAAGAAAAAAUCAGAUGUAUUAUGAAAAUAAUAACAUUUAUGUUUUCUCUCUGGAUUAUGUAGUUGUUAAACCAUAUAUUUCAUUUGUUGACUAUUUUGCGGUUAUCACUCUGUUUAUAAAAAUGAUUGCCAAUUUCAAGCCUCAUUCCGGAGAAUGAGCCAGAGGGCAUUGGGAUAGGUGCGCGCUAAUCCUAAAACUGUGUUUGAACAUGAGAGCUGGUUCUCCUUAGCAGGACUCAGGUGUUACAACCAAGGCUUAAGCCACAACAGAAUUAGAAAACUAUCCUUACAUGGAAAUCUUUUCUCAGAGGCAUAUAUUUUGAAUCUCUGUUUUCAAUGAACAGAGCAAGCAGGGGCUGUGAAAUGCAUUUUCAGUUGGGGAGAGGGAAAGGGGCUUGUGGAAGGUGGCUAGUUAAGGGAUGAAUUAAAUCUUUCCUUUAAAAAAAAAUAAAUCAGAAAAUCCAUGUUUGGACCAGGCAUUAGGAAUACUAUAGCCUUUGGUGCUCAGUCAAUGGGAAAUUUUAAUCAUAGAUCCUUGGGAAAUUGACCAGACUACUCAUUGUCCCACAGUAGAUGUCAAGUAUCUACCUGUCAUAGAAUUUCCUCCACCUGUUAGAAUUUGGAUGCCACUCUGGGGAGAGGUGGGUCUCAGCACUCUCUCAGAUGGUGCAAGUGCAGGGUGGGUUCUUGGCAGUGAGCAUCUCCUUGUAUUUUGCCUCUUACGUGCCUCUCUGUCCUCACCCUAGUGUUAGCCCUGAGAGGCACCCGACAAGGUCUGAGGGGUCUGAGAGUUAGUCAAUAUAACCAUUCGGGCAUCUCCCAGGCACGUGCAGAUCUGGGAGAGCACACUGGCUUGGGUGCUGCAAGAGCUCCAGUAAAGAGAAAAUGCUGGUUGCUAUGCCUCAACCUCAGCUGUGUAAAGUGACAGUUUACUCCUCUGACCAAAAUGUAUCUAGAAUGUUAGAAAGCACCUGUGCCUGAUGCAUCUCCCAGAGUCAGUCUAGGCUGGUCUGCCUGCCUAUGUGAGCAGCUGAGAAUGUAUUUUCAAAGCUGUCUAGUGACUAUUGCUCAAGUGGCUUACAGAUGUCUGGGUUGGUCCUCUGGUAGAUUCUCUCUGGAGCAUUCUCCCUAAUUCUGACCUUCUAUCCCUACUCCAGGGAUCUUGAGACCCACCUCUCUAUUCUGUUUGGGGAUGUGGCAAUGACAGUUGAUAUUCUUCUGGUCAGAAUGCCCAGAUGCUGGUUCUCAGCUGUGUCUUCUCCAUUGUAGGGGAUGAAAUUGUUCUUGGAAGAGUUUUAGGACCUGAUGUCCUCACUUAUUGGAUUUUGCAUAUUUAGACAAAGCUUUUCCUUAUGAUUCCCAGAUAUGGCUCCUUCUCCUCUACUCCCCAAAGCACCUGGCUAAUAUCUGUUUAUUGCUUUCUCUGCCCUGUAUCCACAGUGCCUACUGUAUACAUCUUGGCCUCACCAGACUAUGGGCCCCACAAGUCCAAGGACAAUGUCUUAUUUAGCUCUGAUUCUCCACAGCAGGUAAUCCAGCACCUGAGGGUUGAGAUGUGUCCCAGAAAGAAUUCUUAAAUGAAUCAAUGGGUAAAUAAUUGAAUUUAUCACUCUGGAAGGGAAUUCAUCAAAAAUUUUGCUUCUUUUUUAAGUAUUUUUAAAUAUUUAUUUUUGAGAGAGAGUGCGAACAGAGGAAGAGAGAGAGAGGGAGCCACAGAAUCUGAAGCAGGUUCCAGACUCUGAGCUGUCAGCACAGAGCCUGACACGGGGCUCAAACUCAAAAACUGUGACAUGACCUGAGCUGAAGUCAGACCUGAGCCACCCAGGCACCCCCAAAAUUUUUGCUCCUAGUUGGACAGAAAAGUAUUCUUCUUGGUUCUCAAGCUUCUCUGUACUCAUCAAAGUACUGCAUUUGGAAGGUGUUGUGGUAACUGAGUGAUGGCCAGAGGAAGCAUGAAAACAGAUGAUGGAAAGAAACAUUACUGUGAGUCAAGCUUAGGUAUUUGUUUAGAUAAUAAGGGGUAAUGCCAGAGUUAGUAAUGAGGGAGACUAGACACUUUAAAAAGUACAAAAUGAAGAAAUAAUUGCUAGUUGGGAUCCUGCUGCUUUAGAAUGUCCGUGAAAAUGUUAGCAAAUUGUAUUUAUGUGGGAUCAGAUCCCUAGACUCUAUUAUUCCAAAUAUAUUGUAAAAUUGUUAUGACUCAGGAUCGCGUAUCCAUGUGGUUGAUCCAGGAAUGUCAUGAUGUGAUAGAAUGAUUCCUCAACGUGCCCCUCUACCAUUGUCUGGUUGGUUGCUUUUGAAUGAGGCAUUUAAAUUAUAGAUCAAUUUUUGUAUAGAAAACAAACAGAAUAGGCUAAGUGAUGCCUAUGAUCUUUCCAAUCUCUAAAAUGUUACAAUUUUAUACUUUCAGGUGGUUUUGAAAAAGACACAAUUAUUCAGAGUGCUCUUUAUGGGGAAAAAAAAAGAUCCAUACAUACUCUUUUCCGUGAAUAUAAUUUAAAUAUUUCAAUGU